rnacentral:lncRNA from 1 species
CAUCCGCGGCUCCAUCUGCUGCAGGAACUCCUCCGUGAACCCCAUCCGGCUGACGUCGACGAAGAGGCCGAGUUCCUUGUGCUGGUAGAGCCACUCGACGUAGCGCUCCCACAGCUUGAUUGGGUCCUUCUCCACCGCGCGGCAGCCGCCGCUGCCGUUCUCCGCCCUGGAGCCCAGCGGCCGGGCCGGGGUCGGGGCGGAGUCGGAGGAGCUGGACGAGCGGGAGAGGUCGGCGAUGGAGUGGGGCGCGCGGAGGCGGAGGUGGGAGGGGCGGAGCAGGAGGUGCCGCCGCAGCCGCAGCCGGCACGCGGCGGACGAGGGCGGCGCCGCCGCGCCGGAGAUGGACGCCAUCUCCGCCCGGAGUCGUCGCAGCAGGUAGCGGUGGCGGCGUGGGCCCCUCGCUUGGUCCACCUCACGGGCUCACGCGCCUCCUAUGCGAGGGUUUAGUUUUGGGGGAAGGAGUCCACGAGGUGGAGUUGGUGGCCUCGCUGCCUCGCUGGGCUUGGC